rnacentral:piRNA from 1 species
AACUGAUUUAAUGAGCCUGAUCC